UUACUAUAGUUUUGCUAUAAUCAAAGGCAGCAUCUGUAGUUAGAACAGUAAUGUCACUGUGGUGUAAAAUGAAUACUUCAGAAAAUGUUCCAGCCCAUCAUGGGUUACUGUAAUGGGAAUCUAGAUAAGCAACUUAAGGUUUAGGGAUAACACUAAGCCUUCCACUGAAUUCUGAUCAACACUUUGAUCUUGCAAGUCUGCAUGCCACUCUGGCAAAAAAAGAAACCACUGUAACAACAGCAGGUGGCUUAAAAAUACCUUGCUUGUUCACUGAGGCACAGACAGAUGGAACCAGCAGAGCAAACCCACUGAUGAUGUUUUAGAGCCAUUUUGGCAAGUUCCAAAAUAUAUUCCCUUCUUCCCACUAUGUAACUGCUGACAGAUGUCAGCAGACCUGGAAUAAGAGAAUGAGAGCUCAGUUCCCCACCUCUUACCACCUUAUCUUCUCUGGUUCUGCAGAGCUCCGGAGUGUGACAGGAGAGGUUGAUACUGAAAGACUCUGAUGUGGAACAGGCUUUUAUUUUUGUCAAGACGAUGCACACUUCAAUCCUCAAGCUUCAGUAUGCCAGAGCUAAACUAGCCUAGCAGGCAGCCUUUUCGUUUCAAGAGACACAGAAACAAGAAGGAUGCACUGCAGCAGAAAAUUAGGUUAAAACCAGUAGCAAAUCUCAGUCUCUACCUACAGAGAAGAAAGUAUUUCAAAGGAUGAUGGCUCUCUUAGGCAAAGGGAAAAGAAUGAAGAGGAAGCUGCAAGUGAGCUGACAGAAUCAAGCAACUACUCCCCCCAGUCAAAAACAGAAAUAAGAAAUCCCUCAGAUAAAAUAUCAUAGAAAUUUAACAGCUCAAUCACUAUCAGUGGAGGAUCUGUAACAAGGAAUAAUUCCAUCAGUAGUACUUGGUUAAAUGAACAUUCACCAUGGUGAAGACUGAACUUGAAGAGGCUCAUCUCUAAUUGAUUACUCAACCAGUGAAGAAGAUGGUUGUUCUGAGCUUCACCUUUUUACUCAGUUUCUAAAUACUAAACUAUUUUCUGCAAGUAAGGAUGUCUUGUGCAGGGUGGAGUGAGGUAUCUCAUUAUGUCCAUAAUGCAGAACAUUUGAUAUAGCCUGUAUGGAAGAGUGACAACUCUUUUUUUUCAAAGCAUUAAAUCAAGUAAAGAUUAGUUUUAUUGCAGUGCUCAAAUUUUUGGAAUAUUUUUGUUUAAAAAAAAUAUUGUUUUCCUCUGAAAGGCACUGUUCAAAGUGUGUUUUAACAAUGAAAUGGUUAAAUGCAAUUAUGCACAUAGACUCAGUGGAAAAUAGAUCUAGAGCCUGUUUUACCAAGCAAGAUAAUUGCACACCUCUUGUAUGUAAUUUGAAUGAUUUUUCAUGGUAUCAAAACUUUGGAAUUAGAGUAAUAUUGCUAUUCUUUUCAGUUCAAAGAUAAACAAAAUGUGUAAGGAAAGAACUACAUGGAAAAGACUUUUUGUGACUUCAGUGAAUUUUAGCUUUUGGCAGUUUCUGAAAAAUGCUUCCCUUCCAAAAAAAAGUCACCCUUGCUCAUACAUCUUACCUACUUUCAAUUUAACACUGUACAUCAUAAAAGCAAGGACAAUCUAAGGUUAAGAAAAGAAAGUUCUUUCUUUUCAGAAAGAGAUCUGUGAACAGAGCAAUAUCCCUUGAAAGGGCUGACUUCCUAAUCAGAAGCAGUUGCAUCAGAACUAUUGAAGGAGGUGGCGAAACAACUUGGAAAAUCAAUGAAACUCUUUAAAUACUAUGUAUGGUGAAAAGUCUCUUCCAGACUCAGCUGAUCCAUACAAGUCAAGUUUGCACGGGUCAGAUUUGCCGAGAGCUUGCUGGUUUUUAGAAUUUAACAUUUUCAAGAUAUUUUAUAGGCAUUCACUCAACCCCUUGGAAUUCCUACUUGUAUUGGCUACAAAACAGGAAAAAGAAAAGUAAAACAAACAAAAACUGAAAACUGAUGGCAAAGCUGCCAGCGUCCGUAUGCUGUAGACAUUGAGCCAGGUUUACUGGAUGCCAUGAGCCUGACUUCUUGUGCAGUUAGUUUCUUGUUGACUAUCCUUGAUCACUACACUAAGUCUCAGAGAAUAAACACAUGCAGAUACAUAGAGAAGUAUUUCCUUUGCUUCUUAAGACAGUGUGGGGCAUCAAAACAGAUUUUGCAGAAGAGGGGGAGGAGCUAAGUAUCUGAGGGACUGUAUCCCAAGCCAUAAGUUUCAGCCUUUCUCCAGGCAGGAGAUUGGAAACGGGUCCUCAGCCAGCACUGUGGCUUGAUCUGUGCCAGAGACCUUAAGCAUCUCUCGCAGGCAGGUUUACACGCAUUGACUCUGUGCCUCCCUCCAGGCUUCAGCUAGGUUUUCUGAGUCCUGCUGCUGGACUGAGUUAAGAAAACAGUAGAUAUCUGGUGAUAUCAGUAUAAACUGGUGAUAUCAGUCUCAGCACUGUAAUAAAUGUAGUUAUCCAAACAUGGAAGUAAGCUGAACAUUGCAGAGAAAGUAAAAUGUAAAUGUUUUGAGUUCACAUAGUUUUUGCUGUGUGUUUCCAAUGCCAAGUUCUUCUCUUUCUCUUUCAGGCAUUGACUGAGGGCAGCAGGUGUUGUGUCCUUCCUAAAAUAACUCUUCAAGAUGGUUCUUAUAAUCUGGCAAAGGUAAACAAAAUAAAAACUAUACAGACAGGAAAAGUUCUUCGAAGAAUUGUUGAUUGCAUAAAAGUUACCUAAAUUACUAGCAAUACUAUUUAAAUUAUUAACAUUAUUUUAUUGGUAAGACUGCUGAUUUUGUUCAUCUUACUUGGUGGAAUAUUGUCAUUCAAAGGCAUCUUUGAAUGAAAGUUUAUUUUUACAAAGAAGAACAAAGGAAAAUCAUGUAUUUCUUUUUUUCACUUUUUUCUUCUAAAACAAGACAAUAAAAACCCCUCCAAAUAAAAGAGCAAAAAAAUCUUUUUACUUAUCCAAAACCAUUUAAACUGCACUGAAAUGAAUACUUCCUUGCUCUCUCAUUUAUGCAAAUGAACAAUAAUCACACCUAUCCUGAAGUUAAAUCCUGACUUUAAACCCAAUUCAGACAAUAAUGCAGCAUAAAUUAAAGGAAAAAAAAAAAAAAAAAAAAAAAAAGACAAGUUAAUAUUAUGAGCUCCACAAUAAUUGGGGCGGAUUUUGCAUAAAAUAUUCUCCUGUGCAGCCAGCAGUUGCAACCACAGUUACUCUAAUUCUACACAAUCACAAAAGCAAGAACAUUUCAUAAAAUCUUAUCCUCUGUGUCAAACUUUCUGUUGCCUUCCACAGGCCUACUAUCCAUAAGUCAAGUCUAAAACCAAUUAAA